rnacentral:rRNA from 1 species
UGAUUAAUUAGUUAAAUGGCUGCAGUAUUUUGACUGUGCAAAGGUAGCAUAAUCAUUAGUCAUUUAAUUGUUGACUUGUAUGAAUGGAUAAAUGAAAGGUUUAUUUUUUUUAUUUUAUUAUUAAAAUUUUAUUUUUUAGUAAAAAAGCUUUAAUUAUUUUUUUGGGACGAUAAGACCCUGAAGAACUUUAUUAUAUAAAUAAUUAUAUAUAUUUAUAUAUAGUUUAAAUUAUUUAUUAAUUAUUUAAUUUUUUUUUAUUGGGGUGAUGAAUAAAUAUUAAACUUUAUUUUUUUAAAUCAUUAAUUUAUGAUUAAUUUUGAUCCAAAUUUUAGAUUAAAAGAUCAAGUUACCUAAGGGAUAACAGCGUAAUUUUAAUGGAGAGUUCAUAUUUAUAUUAAAGUUUGCGACCUCGAUGUUGAAUUAAGAUAAGUUUGAGGGGAAU